CAGGCAGGCGGUCCCGUCCCACCACCCACCCCGCGACCGCGAGGCCGCGACCCCGCUGAUGAUGGCGCCGUCCCCCGUCACGUGCAGCCCCUCCGCGGCGCGGCACCGCCCGCUGCAGCUCCGCUCCCCCGCGCCGCGCGCUGCUGUCGUGGCGGCGCUGCCGCUGCGGAGGAGGGAGGCGCUGCCGCACGCGCUGUGGAUCGCGGCGGACCCGUGGGCGUCGGCGCGCGCGUGGACGAGUCUGGGCCUGGGCACGGGCAGGAGGGACGCGGCGAGGUGCGCGGCGGCGGGGCAGGUCGCGGGGACUAGCAGCGCGGGCGUAGGGAGGAGCGCCGGGAUGGAGGUGGUCGUCGCCGCGGCUGCGGUCGUCGCCAUGGGCACGGGGAACCGUGUCCUCUACAAGCUCGCGCUCGUGCCGCUCCGGAAGUACCCGUUCUUCCUGGCGCAGUUCGCCACGUUUGGAUAUGUAGUUGUCUAUUUCUCGAUCCUGUAUCUUCGAUAUCGAGCGGGCAUUGUCACCGAUGAGAUGCUGUCUCUACCACAGAAACCUUUUCUAGCUGUAGGACUCUUAGAGGCCUUUGGAGCAGCAGCAGGGAUGGCAGCUGGAGCUGUUCUUUCUGGAGCUUCAAUACCAAUACUGUCACAGACCUAUCUUGUCUGGCAGCUUCUUCUAUCUGCUAUAUUCUUGAAGAGGCGUUAUAGAAUUAAUGAGAUAGCAGGAUGUUUUCUAGUGGCAAUUGGUGUCAUAAUAACUGUAGCAAGUGGAUCUGGUACUAGCGCUUCAUUUAAAAGUAGUGGAAUUUUAUGGCCGCUGCUAAUGAUAAUAUCGUUCUUUUUCCAAGCUGCCGAUACAAUAUUGAAGGAAAUAAUAUUUAUAGAUGCUUCUAAGAAAUUGAAGUGUGGCUCGGUUGAUCUUUUUGUUGUCAAUUCAUAUGGCUCUGCUUAUCAAGCCCUUUUUAUGUGUAUCUUGCUGCCUUUCCUGUCAAAGUUAUGGGGAGUUCCAUUCCAUGUGUUACCAACCUACAUAAAAGAUGGUGCAGCCUGCUUUUUAAAUAUGGGAUCAAUAUCUGGUUGUGAAGGGGCACCACUUCUACCACUACUAUUUGUGUUGGUUAACAUGGGAUUCAAUAUAUCAUUACUAAACCUACUAAAGAUCUCCUCAGCAGUCAUAUCUUCCUUGGCUUCUACAUUCUCAGUUCCGCUGUCCAUCUACGCUUUCACUCUGCCACUGCCGUAUAUCGGUGCGGCGUCAUCUCUGCCACCUGGCUUUGUUGCGGGUGCAGCGGUACUCACCACCGGCUUACUACUAUACAGCCUACCACAGGCACAACAUUAUGGGAAUUCUUUCCACAACAAGAAUGAUGACUAGUCAGCAUUCAUUUCUUCAUUGGUUUAUAAUCACCCUUCACUCCAAGAUGGUGCGCCAUCUGGGUUCGAAAGGUUGGAGCAGAAGUUCUCCUGAGGGCCACCAGACUGUUGUAUGUUGUAUGAAACAUAUCAUAUAUAUAUACCCACCAAUAAAGGUCGGAGAAGAGCAUGGACAGUGGUUAGACGGGAAGAAAACCAGGGAGAAGAGCAGGAGCAUCAUCACCACAGGGACGAAGAGAAGAAACAGCGGUGGUGGCGGAAGGGGUGGCAGCACCAACGGCAGGCACAGGAGGAUCACUGUCGCCGCCAGCAACAUCAUCAGUACUCUCUUGCUCAUCGCCGCCGCCCUGCGCUCGCUGUGAUGGAACUUGCUUGUGCCAACCCCCAAUGGCUGCCCGGCUCCAGUCUUUUUCUAGGCUUUCAUGUGAGGAAGUUGUACUAUGUGUGAGAGAAAGAAAAUGUUAGUUGCCCCCGAUGAAGGAACUGGCAAGGUAUAUGUACAUGGCCAGCUUGAAUCAGCAGGCCAGAUGGGGUGUUUUGGCAUGUGUGACUGCUGGACUGGGCAUGUUCGAUCC